rnacentral:rRNA from 1 species
CUACGGGACACACCAGUGAGGAAUAUUGCACAAUGGGGGGAACCCUGAUGCAGCAACGCCGCGUGGAGGAUGACGCAUUUCGGUGUGUAAACUCCUUUUAUAUGUCAAGAAAAUGACGGUAGCAUAUGAAUAAGCACCGGCUAACUCCGUGCCAGCAGCCGCGGUAAUACGGAGGGUGCAAGCGUUACUCGGAAUCACUGGGCGUAAAGGACGCGUAGGCGGGUUGGAAAGUCAGGUGUGAAAUCCUACGGCUUAACUGUAGAACUGCACUUGAAACUUCUAAUCUAGAGUAUGGGAGGGGGAGAUGGAAUUAGUGGUGUAGGGGUAAAAUCCGUAGAUAUCACUAGGAAUACCUAAAGCGAAGGCGAUCUCCUGGAACAUUACUGACGCUAAGGCGUGAAAGCGUGGGGAGCAAACAGGAUUAGAUACCCCUGUAGUC